rnacentral:miRNA from 1 species
UAUUAGGUUGGUGUAAAAGUAAUUGCUACUUUUGGAAUUAUUUUUAAAUGGCAAAAACUGCGACUACUUUUGCAUCAACCUAAUAG